rnacentral:misc_RNA from 1 species
CUGGGACCCAGGUUGGGUGCUUCGGCGCCCGCCCCCACCCUUUGCUUAGCCCCCGAAAUUAUGCAAAACCGUCGGCCUUUGGCGCGCCCGCCUGACAGCGUGGUGUGCCGGCCGGACAUCAAACCCUGAACAACAUUGCAGCCUGAAGUUAAAAGCAAAUAAUUA